ACGAACGCUGGCGGCGUGCUUCACACAUGCCAGUCGAACGGUGAAGCGCCUUCCUUUUUGGUGGGUGUGGAUGAGUGGCGAACGGGUGAGUAACACGUGAGUAACCUGCCCCCUUCUUCUGGAUAACCGCAUGAAAGUGUGGCUAAUACGGGAUAUUCUGGGUCUGUCGCAUGAUGGGUCUGGGAAAGAUAUUGUUUCGGUGGGGGAUGGGCUCGCGGCCUAUCAGCUUGUUGGUGGGGUGAUGGCCUACCAAGGCGGUGACGGGUAGCCGGCCUGAGAGGGUGGACGGUCACACUGGGACUGAGACACGGCCCAGACUCCUACGGGAGGCAGCAGUGGGGAAUAUUGCACAAUGGGCGCAAGCCUGAUGCAGCGACGCCGCGUGAGGGAUGGAGGCCUGCGGGUUGUGAACCUCUUUCGCCAGUGAAGCAGGCCUGCCUCGUUUGUGGGUGGGUUGACGGUAGCUGGAUAAGAAGCGCCGGCUAACUACGUG
rnacentral:rRNA from 1 species